AAAAACAUUGUUUUUUUAUUCGAAAUGAAGAGAAACUUAAUGUUUUACUCAUAUUAGUGGGAUAGCAGAUUGGCACCCACCACAAGCACAAAAGCAUGCGUGCCCAUGAAUAUGUGAGUGAUGACUGCAAUCUACAUCUAUACAUAUAGAUGUGUAUUCAUCAAGAUAAAAUUGUCAAAUAAUAGCACUAGAUAAGGAAAUACACCAUAUGUUACACUUCCAUCAAUUUGCAGAUAAACUAGGAUAUCAAAAGAAGAAAUGAGAAGAAAAAAGCAAAAGCCUUUUCCUUCAUGUUAAAAUGAAGAAUGUCCUCAAUACAUACAUUAGAACUUCACCAAUAUGUGACAAUUUCUUAUUCUUAUCCAAUAAUUAGCAAAAGGGAAAACAAA
rnacentral:misc_RNA from 1 species